rnacentral:rRNA from 1 species
GUGGCAGGCGGCUCUUCAAGUCGGAUGUAAAAUACUCUCGGCUUAACUGAGAGGGAGUCGUCCGAGUACUGUUGGGUCGUGGAGAGCAGCAGAGGGAGAUGGAAUUCCCGGUGUAGUGGUGAAAUGCGUAGAUAUCGGGAGGAACAUCAGUGGCGAAAGCGGUCUCCUAGGCUGUUUCUGACGCUGAGGCCCUAAAGCGUGGGGAGCAAACAGGAUUAGAUACCCUGGUAGUCCACGCCCUAAACUAUGGAUACUAGGUAUGGGGGGUAGUCGACCCCCUCCGUGCCGAAGUUAACACGUUAAGUUUCCCGCCUGGGGAGUACGGCCGCAAGGUUAAA